rnacentral:rRNA from 1 species
GAGUUUGAUCAUGGUUCAGGACGAACGCUGGCGGCGUGCCUAAUACAUGCAAGUCGAACGCAUCCCGCUGAAUUGAAGUGCUUGCACUGACUUUCAGCAUUGGAUGAGUGGCGAACUGGUGAGUAACACGUGGGUAACCUGCCCGGAAGCAGGGGAUAACACUUGGAAACAGGUGCUAAUACCGUAUAACAACUGAAACCGCAUGGUUUCAGUUUGAAAGAUGGUUUCGGCUAUCACUUCUGGAUGGACCCGCGGCGUAUUAGCUAGUUGGUGGAGUAAUGGUUCACCAAGGCGAUGAUACGUAGCCGACCUGAGAGGGUAAUCGGCCACAUUGGGACUGAGACACGGCCCAAACUCCUACGGGAGGCAGCAGUAGGGAAUCUUCCAUAAUGGACGAAAGUCUGAUGGAGCAACGCCGCGUGAGUGAAGAAGGGUUUCGGCUCGUAAAACUCUGUUGUUGAAGAAGAACACAUCUGGGAGUAACUGUUCAGGUGUUGACGGUAUUUAACCAGAAAGCCACGGCUAACUACGUGCCAGCAGCCGCGGUAAUACGUAGGUGGCAAGCGUUGUCCGGAUUUAUUGGGCGUAAAGCGAGC